ACUUGAGUUAUUUUUGUAAAUAUAAUAUUUUUUGGGUUAUUUAGGUAAAACAGCCUAUUAAAUAAUACUAAUAAUAAUACAGUAAUAAUAACAAUGUAACAGUAUUUUAAAAAAAAAUGUAAAAUGACAAAUGAAGGAUUAAUUUAAACUUUAAUUUGAAAAAACGGGGUAAAUUUGAAAAUAAUAAAAUACGAAUGGACCGUUUAGAACAAACAAUUAACAGUGGAGGACCCAAAGGAAAUUUACCCAAACCUCCCAAACACUGCAAAGCAACGAAGACCGAAUUGAAACAGUCUUAAAAUAUGCGGUAAAAUUUAAAAGAAAUAAUAAAUUUAAUUUAAACAACCCCAAAAAGCAAUGGACCAAUCGCGCAAAUUGCCCCUUUUGAACCCUAUAAAAUCCCAUUUUUAAACCCUAAAUUCAUUUUCCUUCUGCCUUUUGAAGUCGCGCCGUUGCCAUCUCCCUUCCACCAUUUCAGACCCAUUUCCGACCAGCCACAACGACGACGACGGCACCUCGACGGUAUUGAGAUCGUGGGAGGGGUGCGUCGGGGUUGCUGAACGUGCGAGCAACGACGUGCGUGGAAACGGUUGCUGCGGCGCCAAAGCUGGGAAGAAGGCUGCUGCUAGGGUUUGCACACUCGGGUCUUAUUGGGCCAAAUGCAUUAGGAUUAGCCCAAAUUCUAUUGGUCUGUGUAAAAUGGACUGUUUUCAUUAUUUAUUUUUUAGCCAGGCCAAAAUUGGCCUAUUACAUAUAGAAUUACAAUUUGUAGUUGAAGUAUAUCAUACCAAUAAGUAUUGAAUGUUGUGAUAAGACA